AGUAAGAUCAGCUAAGCAAGCUUUUGGGCCCAUACCCCAAACAUGUCGGUUAAACCCCCUCUCUUACUA
rnacentral:tRNA from 1 species